GUUGUUGAUUAGCCGCUGUGGGAAAUCCCCUACCUAGCACAUGGAAUAUAACACCUCUCCUGUGUAUAUCUGAAAUAGAGGAUAUGACAGAUUAUUCACAGCAGGGAACUAUGCUCACCAUCACAUGAUACCAAUAUACAAAUAUGUAUGAUAUCCUUAUUACAUAUCAACAGGGAAAAGCAAGGAAUUAGACAAUUUGGCUGAUCUAGAAGUGCUUUAUUGGCCUCAUUUCCCUCCGUCUGUCCGUUCAUCCAUCAAGACAAAAUGCCUUGCUCUAAGAGAAGUGUUUGAUGAGUCCAACUAAGACUGGGGCGAUCAACAGCAAAAACUCAGAUCAGUCCACUCACAGUCUGGGAUAUUCAGUCCACUCACUAUGGCCUCUUUCAGAUAAAAAAAAAACUGGUGGUGCAACGUUGGAGAAUUUAGAAGGAGGGGAAAUGGCUGUGGCAUCUCCUGCUUACAGUAGUUGAGUUGGGCUACUGAAGGUGAGACAUGUGGAUGUGCAUUUUAAACAGUCUUCUGAAAAAUAUUUUAAACAAUUUGUCUCUGGAUUCAUCGUUACAGUAAUA